UUGGAUGGGCCGGGCGGUACAAACUUGUUUUUUUAAAAGUUUGACCUCAUACACGUAAGAAUACCCGCUGAACUUAAGCAUAUCAAUAAAGCGGAGGAA
rnacentral:rRNA from 1 species